ensembl:lncRNA
AUGCGCCAAUGCCAUAUUUGGAGGCAAUGACGUCACGGCGACGCGACGAAGGCUGUCCGAAUUCAAAGAGUACUCAAAAUGUGGCGACAAAUGCGUCCUACUUUGCCCUGAAUUCUAAGGAUGGUCCGAUGUAUCCUUCAUGUCCUACUAUAUCCCAGGAUUCAUUGCGGGUCAUAGAGGAGAUUUGUUUCUGAUAACGAUGGUGGUCGAAGCAGGAGAGGAAAACACUUUCAAAUGGCCAAGCGCAGCAGUGGGUGACCAAAACGACAGCGAUGACGAAGCGGCUCAGCCACCUACGACAGGGAGAAAGAGGAAAAGAGAUGAUGAGCUGCUAGACCUCAUCAGAGCGGACAUGAGGCAGCAAAGAGAGGCUGAGGAGAGGAG